GCUGGCGUGGUCUAAUGGUUAUGAUUUCUCGUUAACAUCCCAUGUUAAUACAGUAUGUUCAAACAUCCGAGAAGGUUCCGCGUUCGAUCCGCGGCGCUAGUA